AUUGAACGCUGGCGGCAUGCCUUACACAUGCAAGUCGAACGGCAGCGCGGGGCAACCUGGCGGCGAGUGGCGAACGGGUGAGUAAUAUAUCGGAACGUACCCUGGAGUGGGGGAUAACGUAGCGAAAGUUACGCUAAUACCGCAUACGAUCUAAGGAUGAAAGUGGGGGAUUCGCAAGAACCUCAUGCUCCUGGAGCGGCCGAUAUCUGAUUAGCUAGUUGGAGGGUAAAAGCCUACCAAGGCAUCGAUCAGUAGCUGGUCUGAGAGGACGACCAGCCACACUGGAACUGAGACACGGUCCAGACUCCUACGGGAGGCAGCAGUGGGGAAUUUUGGACAAUGGGCGCAAGCCUGAUCCAGCAAUGCCGCGUGAGUGAAGAAGGCCUCGG
rnacentral:rRNA from 1 species